rnacentral:tRNA from 1 species
GAUACUGUAUCUCAGUGGCAGAGUAUGUGCUUAGCAUGCACAAGGUCCUGGUUCAAUCCCAGUACCU